rnacentral:rRNA from 1 species
AUUGAACGCUGGCGGCAAGCUUUACACAUGCAAGUCGGACGGCAGCACAGAGAAGCUUGCUUCUUGGGUGGCGAGUGGCGAACGGGUGAGUAACAUAUCGGAACGUACCGGGCAGUGGGGGAUAACUAAUCGAAAGAUUAGCUAAUACCGCAUAUAUUCUGAGGAAGAAAGCAGGGGACCAUUUGGCCUUGCGCUGUUUGAGCGGCCGAUAUCUGAUUAGCUAGUUGGUGGGGUAAAGGCCUACCAAGGCGACGAUCAGUAGCGGGUCUGAGAGGAUGAUCCGCCACACUGGGACUGAGACACGGCCCAGACUCCUACGGGAGGCAGCAGUGGGGAAUUUUGGACAAUGGGCGCAAGCCUGAUCCAGCCAUGCCGCGUGUCUGAAGAAGGCCUUCGGGUUGUAAAGGACUUUUGUCAGGGAAGAAAAGGGCGGGUUAAUACCCCUGUCUGAUGACGGUACCUGAAGCAA